rnacentral:lncRNA from 10 species
GAUCUUCAAUGGCCAAUGAUUUAAUCAAUCAUGCCUGUGUAAUGAAGCCUUCAUAAAAACCUAAAAAAGGACGGGGUUUGGAGAGCUUCCUGUAAGCGAACCCGUGAAGGUUCCAGGAGGAUGGCGCACCCGGAAAGGGCGUGGAAGCUCCGCGCCCCUUCCCACAGACUUUCCCCCAUCCAUCUCUUCAUCUGGUGUUCAUCGAUAGCCUUUGUAAUGUCCUUAAUAGUAAACCGGAAAACGUUCUUUCUACGUUGCCCAAGCUGGAGUGCAGUGGCCAUUCAACAGGUGGGAUCAUAGCACACCGCAGCCUCAAAUUCCUGGGCUCCAGCGAUCCUCCCAUCUCAGCCUCCCAAGUAGCUGGGGCUAUAGGCAUGUGCCACCACACCCAGCUAUUCCUUCUUAUAGCCAAAUAAUAUUCCAUUGUAUGGAUCAUUUUUUUUCUUUUCUUUUCUUUUUUUUCUGAGAUGGAGUCUCACUCUGUUGCCCAGACGAGUGCAGUGGCACAAUCUUGGCUCACUGCAACCUUCACCUCCUGGUUCAAGCAAUUCUCCUGCCUCAGCCUCCCAAAGUGGAGGAAGAAGAGAAUCACCACAUAUCGUAUUUAGAGGUCCUGCAGAAAGGGCAGAGCGAGUUUCAUGUUUGAGUGCAGCGGAUGCAUGGGCAAAGCAUUACACAGCCGCUCCAUGGAAGUGACAAUGAGCCUUGUCUUUCACACGUAACUCCAGGAACCAGGGGAAACAAAACCAAUUCCACCCAGAGGUACAGACAAAGAAGAGCACCCUCCCAAAGGAGCCCGCAUGAUAAGUGGCCACGGCGAACAUCACUGUGAUCAGUCAGAAAGGCAGGCGAGUUAUUAGCUUAGCCCUGAACCUCCUACUUAAUGUAGAACCAGUGGUGAUGGUUAACAGACCCUGGCUGCAGUGACAAGCCUGGGACCUGCUCGAGGAAAUCCAAUUGAAAAGCAGCCAAGAGGAACAACAAGCUAGAAACAGAUGUUCCAGCUACCAGGAUGUGCACGCAUUUAACCUGAACAUGUAGUUGGGGUGGGAUGGUAGCAUUCGUUUCUAAAUAUAGUGAUUUCACUUCUUCCCCCA